GAUUGCGCCAACCCCCACAUGGUACUUGAUAAUAAAACUUUUUAACCGCCUGGCUUUGGGAAGAACGUAUUGGGCGGGUGUAAGGUGGGGAUCCGGCAACGCUUUCAAACGAACAGACAGUUUAUUAACGUUGGCGCUACCGGCAGUCCUUUAGAAAGGGCAGUGUGGUGUAUGGGAAUGACACGUUAUUUUUCGGCCAUACAAAGAGGUUCUGGUGCGGAGUGACGCGGGCAGCCCCGGCAGUAACUGCAGGCGGCAGCUGGGACGCCGCCGGUUUAAAACGUGCGCGUGAGGCAACCAGAGCGCAUGCGCGAGGGUGUGGGGUGACGGGAGGGGUAGCCAUGAUCUUCCGGGGGGGAGGGGCGGCCAGGCGAGGCCUGUGAGGCGGGCGCGCGCGCGGGCGGGCACGUGGGGGCCCUUUCGUCCCGGGUGUCCCAGCGCCCCGCGCCAACCCCCAACCUGGUUUCGGCCCAGGCGGUGGUCAGCGUGGGGAAAAGCCGAACCCCACGCGGUUCCACUGCUCGUUUUUUUUUUUUUUUUUUUUUUUUUUUUAGGGGGGGAGGUCAGGAAGGAGAAGGAAGUGCUAGAAAACGUAGCCAGAAAGAUAAUGGCGUCCAUUUACAUAAUGCUUUGUUUGCAUUUUGAAAGUUUCUCUGUGAAACCCCCGCAGAAACCCCACCUCCCACCCUCCUGUCUCUUGUCCCAGCAGCCUCGUCAGGCACUUGAAACAAUGGUGUGCUGCGCCGGGCAGUGCUUUCGGGAGUGUUUCUGCGGGUUCUCCAUGUGGUUUCCACCCCUCUCUGUUGCCUCCUAUUUCUCCCUCCGCUCGGUGCGGCCGCCACUCCUCGCUUUCUAGGGGGCGGUCUCCGACGGUGCCCCGCCAUCUUGAAUGCCUUUUUCUGUCCCGUGUCCCUACCACGCGUCCCUGGCGCCAAGAAACGGUCACUCAGGACGCCAGUGUGAAAAGUGUAAUUUCUGUCCCUUCGUCUUUCCGCCAACCAAAGAUAGAAACGGUCUCGAGUACAACGUGCUCAGAUGAAUUCGCUUAGGCCCAGAGAGGUGAGAUGACUAACUCAAGGUCACAGUGUCCAGGAUGGAAUCCAGACCUCAUUGCCUUCUUGGUUUUGUUUAUUUGUUAAUGAAAAAGAUAGGAGGAGAAAGAGAACCAGACAUUUCUCUGAUAUAUGUGCUGCUGGGAAUUGAACUCAGGACCUCCUGCUUGAGAGUCCAGUGCUUUAUCCACUGUUCCACCUCCUGGACCACUGUGGUAGCCGUUCCAAAAUGCUUUCACGUAAAUUUCUAAUUCUACAACUUUAAAAGGCCCAUGGGGUUAGAGAUGAGGGCUCCAUAGACUCCUUGGAUGAAGCCAUUGAGAUGGAGCAACUGACUGACUAGUCACCACCUCACCCUUGGAGCCUUACACUAUGACUCUUCUCCUCCCACUCAACUGAUCACAGAUAAAGUAUGACUGAGAGCACAACUCUGGAACCAGCUUACAGGAACCUAAAUUAAGCUGAUUCAUCUACUUACUGUAUGACCUUGGGGUGAGAGAGAGAAGGCGAGAUACCAGCACACUACCUCACCAUCUGUGCAGUUCUAUUUGGUGCUGUCCAUUGGUUCUUCCAUGUUGUGCCAGGAUCAAAACCAGGGCCUGAUACAUGAUGCCUUUUUGUUAAAUACCAACCAACACACCACUGGGCAGGCUGCCCUAGGCUGAGGAGUGGCCAGAGAUUUGACCCUCUGGAAGGUUUCCCAGAAGAGAAAGGGAAUUGUUAGAAACUCCCAUCAACGGAGAGAGGUGGGGCAGACUAUGGGCUAACAGACAGGGAAGUCUUGUUGGUGUCAUGCAUUCCAGCACACUGCCUACAUAGCAGACACAUCACAGUGAAGAGGGAACCACCGGAGGAGAGCCAGUGCAGAGCAGAUGAAGUGGAUCUGUUCUUGUCCACCUUGGGGACAGAGAAGAGAAACCUACUGGAAACUCAGGUUCCUUCAUUAAGACUGACAGAUAAUCCAAAUUCAGAAAAUAAUGGCAUGCCAAGAAGAACCGAGGAGAGAGAGAUACCUGCAACACUGCUUGUGAAGCUUCUCCCUGCAGGUGGGGACUGGGGGCCUAACCCCAGGUCCUUAGGCAUGGUAUAGUGUGUGUGCUCCACUGGUGGACUCCCACCAGCCCCCAAACAAAUUUUGAAAUACAGACUUGUUCUUACGCUUCCUCAAUUCUUGUCUGCCACGAAUUAUAGAAAACUAAAUGUCCAAGUGAAGGAAAUCACUAAUGGGAUAUAUUCUGGGCUGUGUGAGGCUCUAUCGCCUACCAGAGCUUGGCAGUAACAGAAGGCACUAAAACUAGCUAGCGUUGGACAUUUCUGAAUGCUGCUGUUCUUAUGUCUGCCAACAGACUCAAGCUUCCUUGGUCUAUCCACACCUGUCUCUCAGGCUAGAAGGUUUGAAAGUUGCUGAAGACAUGCAACAACAACAACAACAAAAAAGCAAGACUAAACAAUAGUACCGUACUAUCUGUAGAUAGUUCUCCUGAAUAGAUCGUGGUCCUCUUAUAGUGUUUCCUGGCUUGGGUAUAAUCAGACCCGGAGUUGUAUAAAUCAGGUAUGUAAUGGUGCCUCUGUGUUUUGAGGCACUAUCAGAGACUACACUUUUACUGAACAAACUGAAAUUACUCUAUUUCUCAGGCUUUCACAGUUAAGUAUAUCAUACACACACACACACACACACACACACACACACACACACACAGGUGUGUAUAGAGUAGCAACCAGUAGAGGAGGUAGUUAAGCAACUGGGCUCAUAGAUAGAAAUACUGAA